GCGGAACGGAAAUACGUACAUACGGAAACAGACUGCAAACAGAGUAAUUUCCGUUGUUUUUGCGGACCCAUUGAAGUGAAUGGUUCCGCAUACAGUCCGCAAAAAAAAAAACGGAACGGACACGGAAACAAAAUACGUUCGUGUGCAUGAG